rnacentral:rRNA from 1 species
UACGAGUGCCCCCAAGCGUUAUCCGGAAUUAUUGGGCGUAAAGGGUGUGUAGGUGGUUUUGUUAGUCUUCUGUUAAAGCUCCCGGCUUAACCGGGAAAGUGCAGAGGAAACGGCAAGACUAGAGGAUGUGAGAGGUUUGCGGAACUCAAGGUGUAGGGGUGAAAUCCGUUGAUAUCUUGGGGAACACCAAAAGCGAAGGCAGCAAACUGGCGCAUUCCUGACACUGAAACACGAAAGCGUGGGUAGCGAAUGGG